rnacentral:lncRNA from 1 species
UGUUGCGUCAGUGCUGAAAAUAUAUCCGCAAAUACUCAAUCAAAGGAAAGAGGUACUUGAAGCAAAGAUUGAUUUCCUUGUGAAUAAAUUGGGUUAUCCGCUGUCUGCUUUAGUUUCGUUUCCAUCUUACCUCAACUACACAAUUCCAAGAAUCAGGCUUAGGCUUUCAAUGUAUAUCCGCUGUCUGCUUUAAUUUCGUUUCCAUCUUACCUCAACUACACAAUUCCAAGAAUCAGGCUUAGGCUUUCAAUGUAUAAUUGGCUCAGAGAUGAAGGAAUAGUGGAUUCAAAGUUGGCUUUGAGCACUAUCAUAGCUUCCUCAGAGAAAUUAUUCAUGAAGGCAUAUGUAAACCCUCAUCCUAAAGGCCUUCAAGUUUGGAAAGAUCUGAAAAAAGAGAUAUAUCCUGAUUAAGCGAUAGAUAUCCUAGUCGCUCCAUCUAGCUACAUUCGCAAGGGAAAGGUUGAAGCUUGAAGUCUAUUUAAAGUAGCAGUCUCCUGCUUAGGUUAAGAUGAGUACCAUUUCUAAAUGUGCUUAAACGAAAAGGAGCAGGUAGCCAGGUAAUGUAAUUCCGGAUACUGAUCCACCAUUCAACUAGAUUAAGG